GUCUGGGAUUCAUCGUCAUUCGUUAGUGAGACGCGGAGACUGAGGGGUACAGCGCUAAGUGCAAGAUGAAGAGUGUGAUGAUAUUGGUGGUUUUGGUGUGCUGUUUGGUGUUAGCGAGCGCGGCCCCACAAUUCGGAGGCGGCUCGGGCCGCUGCCGGCCCGGCAGUGUGGUUCAGAGAGACUGUAACACGUGCACGUGCUCCUCGACCGGGGUCCUCGGCUGUACGCUGAAGGCCUGUGUCGGAGGAGGCGCCUCCGGCGGAGGAAGGCCGCGCCCGCGUCCGCUGCCAGUAAAUUUUCCCGGAAACUUCCCGGGGAGUUUUCCGGGAAGGUUUCCCGGAGGUGGAAGCCGGUUUCCCCCUAACUUCGGAAGGCUUGGAAACUUCAGGGGGUAACAACAUGACGAGUAAGUAAUCGGGAGGAGAGGGCAACGACAACGGAGCGACUGCCUGAAAAAAGCCAUCACAUGCAUAUAUGCUGGAAUUUCACAGCGUCAAGAAAUCAUCUGUCAUUCGAAGUCAAUGCUUCAGUCUUCAUUGUUAUGUGCUCUAAUUAAAUAUAUUUCUUCGGCACCUAUGUAACGUUGGAGAUGACAACAUUGUUGCCGCACCUUGUGUGUAUUGUUGACACAUCAUGAUGAUAUUGUUAUUGCUAUAUUUUUAAUGCGGAGGGCUCACCCAUCUGAUCAUUCCCAUGACCUACCGUCACCUGCGCUCAGAGAUAUGCAACACUACGGAUGUCGUUAAUCAUAUGAUGACAAUAAAUGGAUGUUCUUCAUUUUCGUUUGCAACCAUUUUCACUUCGUGGGAUAUCGCCAGAGUCAAGUAUACGGAAGCCCUUAUUUAUCAUCAUUCUAUCUGCUGCGACGUUUGCUUUAGAUAUCGAUAGAAAAUGACAUAAACUCAGCCGCAGGAGAUAUUGCAAUUUAACAACAGACGGUUAUGAUAACCAUCGGCGCUCAUGAACUACUUUAUAUGUGGCUGGUACUUCUGGCUAAAAGAACCAUUGAACCGAAUGACAACAAGACCUCCUCCCCCAUCUUCCCCAUUCACCCCAACACCGGUCCCUGUCCCUAUCGUCCGAUAAAAACCA